GCGGGUGUCGCCAAGUGGUUAAGGCCCCGGAUUGUGGUUCCGGUAUUCGUGGGUUCAAGUCCCAUCAUCCGCC
rnacentral:tRNA from 1 species